UUGAAUACUGAACAGGGAAGCUGGAAAAGUUUCUAAUGAACCAGGCCAUAAGAAUAAGUUGGACUGGAAGACGACACUGAGCUUGGCGUUCCAGAUCGUUGGAGUGAUUUAUGGAGACGUAGGAACAUAUCCACUCUACUAUACUCCAGCACCUUCUUGGAUGGGAUCAAGCACGACGAUGACUUGCUGGGUGUUUUGUCUCUCAUCAUUUAAACAUUAGCAAUUUCGCCGAUGAUUAAAUACGUCUUCAUUGUUUUGUGGGCUAAUGACCAUGGCAAUGUGGUUCAGUUACGGUUGAUAAAACUCUGUGGAAGAUGAUGUUGUAGAUUAUAUUUUGUCAACUACUGUUGAUUCUGUCAACUUAAGUGGGCCAAUUGAUGCGGUUCAAAGCCAUUGGCGUAGUUAUUAAGGAUAAUGCAAAAGACGUAGUGCUACCUGGCUUUUCACAAAUCUUGCGUAUACAGGUAGAUUAUACAGUUCACCAGGCUCCACUACGAUGUUCUCCCUGUGCUCCAGAAUUGAAGCCGGA